rnacentral:rRNA from 1 species
CCUACGGGAGGCAGCAGUGAGGAAUAUUGGUCAAUGGGCGGGAGCCUGAACCAGCCAAGCCGCGUGAGGGAAGAAGGUACAGCGUAUCGUAAACCUCUUUUGUCAGGGCACAAAGGCGGGGACUAGUCCCCGGAUGAGGGUACCUGAAGCAAAAGCAUCGGCAAAUACCGGGCCAGCAGCCGCGGUAAUACGGGGGAUGCGAGCGUUAUCCGGAUUUAUUGGGCUAAAGGGGGGCGCAGUCGGCCUGUUAAGUCAGCGGUAAAAGCCCGGGGCUAAACCCCGGCGAGCCGUUGAAACUGGCAGACUGGAGUUGGAGAGAGGUGCGCGGAAUGCGCGGUGUAGCAGUGAAAUGCGUAGAUAUCGCGCAGAACCCCGAUUGCGAAGGCAGCGUACCGGCUCCACACUGACGCUGAGACACGAAAGCGUGGGUAUCGAACAGGAUUAGAUACCCUAGUAGUC